CACGGGCUUAUUCAAGGCAAAAAUGUUGUUUACCAUUCAAUGGUCUUCCUAUGGAAUGAUGAUUCAGGGAAUGGGUGGGUAACAAAUUAGGUCAAGCUUUCAAUUUUACCCUCACCAUUAUCAUUUAUUUCUCACGUCUGAAACCUUUUUCCCUUUUUUUUUAUGCUUCUUCCUUCCAAUGUAAUCAUCAACAAAUUCCCAACUUAUCAAUUUAAUUUUUUUAAUCCUAUUUCCUCCCAACCCUAUCUCCCCUUGACAAACCCCAACAAGGCAUUCAAUCUCAUAACCGCUUUUCUAACUCCAAAUGCCCUCAACAAGGCCUUGUCUUGCUUUCGAUUGAGGUGGAAACUUGAGAAGAGAAACAAAUGGAUGGUGGUUCGAUAUGAGGCUUCAGCUAUAGCUGAGAAAAGAGGCCGAAGAUACCUUUGUGGAGAAAUUUAAGUACCAAGUAGAAUUGUUGUGUCCACAAAGAGUCCAAAAUCAGACAAGCAAUACGUUUGAGAAGUUGUAGCAGGUAGUAGUUCCUAUGUGAAUAGGGAGGAAACUGAUCUAGAAAAUCUUCUAGUUCGUGGUACAUAGAUUACCCUUUUUUUAAGGGUACUGUGUUUGUUAUUCUUUUUCCCUUUUUACACCCUAUUUGAAUGUAUUUGCAUUUGUAUUUUAAAAAUUUAUAGGAAGAUUAUAAAUAGCAUUGAGAUCUUAAUGUAGUGUUUCAUGUUACAAAUAUAAUUGCCUUAGAAAUUUCUGGUUCUUUAAAUGUACAAUUCUUUUAAGUGCCAAAUGUCUAAGAUAUUGUUCUCCUGCGGUCAGAUGACAAGUAUGAAUUCUCAGAUCCCACCAGAAUUCAGAAUUCGGUGAAGAAUUAUUCCCAGUUUGUUUCUUUCCCAAUCUACAUUUAUGGUUCCUCCAGCACAUUUGAAUCCUGAAUCUUUUAAUAAUAUGGGUGCUUUGCGAGACAGUGGAGAUUUUGUGGCCUAGGAAAGUUGGUUAGAUGAUUUGCUCCAAAGUAAUGGUUGCAAGCUACUAUUUAGUGAAUUUAUUGUUUCUUUGAGUUAUAUUGAAGAUAAUUUUUAGCAUUCAUUUCUUCUCAAUUGUAUGUAAUGAUAUGUAGGGAUAGGAUUUUUAAUUACCUUUGAUGUCAUAGUUGUCGUCGUCAACAGAUACGAGGUUUAUCAACACAAUGCUAAUGCGCUCAAUAAAAUAUUUCAAAACCAUGCUUGCUUUGCUGACCAAUUUUGAUUGAACAAUCGAGAGUUUCAAAGCAACAUUAUGAAUACAGUUGUUGAAAUUUACCGGAGAUUAGAAAGCGAUCUGAAGUUGGCAAAGACUCAUCAAACAUUGGAGGAUCAUAAAGCGAUUGCGAGAAACUUUCCGAGAAGCCAAUUUGAAGUUGUCCAGGUUAAAAAAGAAAUAACGGCUAGAGUAAUUGUUGCUUCUCGUUAUUUCGUUCAAGUAAUAGCAGUCUAAGAAUCUUUUACUGGUUAAUUGGAAUGUUGAUGAAUUGAUAGUAAUGUAUGCUUUUGUGUGAGGGUUUGUCUUUGAAUCAAGAGAAUGUUAAGAACUCAUGUGGUUUGAUACUUUUGGUAUUUUAAAGCUAUUUUUGUGUGGAA